rnacentral:rRNA from 1 species
UACGGGGGGGGCAAGCGUUGUUCGGAAUUACUGGGCGUAAAGGGCUCGUAGGCGGCCAACUAAGUCGGAUGUGAAAUCCCUCAGCUUAACUGGGGAACUGCGUCUGAUACUGGAUGGCUUGGAUUCGGGAGAGGAAUGCGGAAUUCCAGGUGUAGCGGUGAAAUGCGUAGAUAUCUGGAGGAACACCGGUGGCGAAGGCGGCAUCCUGGACCGAGAUUGACGCUGAUGAGCGAAAGCUAGGGAGCAACAGGG